UGCCUAUACAUGCAGUCGAGCGACCACUUCGGUGGUGAGCGGCGAACGGGUGAGUAACACGUAGGUGAUCUGCCCAUCAGACGGGGACAACGAUUGGAAACGAUCGCUAAUACCGGAUAGGACGAAAGUUUAAAGGUGCUCCUGGCACCGCUGAUGGAUGAGCCUGCGGCGCAUUAGCUAGUUGGUAGGGUAAAGGCCUACCAAGGCGACGAUGCGUAGCCGACCUGAGAGGGUGAACGGCCACACUGGGACUGAGACACGGCCCAGACUCCUACGGGAGGCAGCAGUAGGGAAUCUUCGGCAAUGGGCGAAAGCCUGACCGAGCAACGCCGCGUGAAUGAUGAAGGCCCUCGGGUUGUAAAAUUCUGUUAUAAGGGAAGAACGACUUUAGUAGGAAAUGGCUAAAGUGUGACGGUACCUUAUGAGAAAGCCACGGCUAACUACGUGCCAGCAGCCGCGGUAAU
rnacentral:rRNA from 1 species